GCCCUCUUAGUCCAGCCUGGAUAAGAUAUGGCCCUGCGGAGGCCAUGACCCGGGUUCAAAUCCCGGAGAGGGCA
rnacentral:tRNA from 1 species